rnacentral:sRNA from 1 species
GAUGGGUGUAGUAGCAUACACCUGUAAUCCCAGCAGCUCAGGAGGCUGAGGUAGGAGGAUUGUGAGUUCAAAACCAGCCUCAGCAACAUCAAGGUGCUUAGCAAUUCAGUGAGACCCUAUCUCUA